rnacentral:rRNA from 1 species
AAGAGACAGCAGCAGCCGCGGGAAUACGAAGGGUGCAAGCGUUAAUCGGAAUUACUGGGCGUAAAGCGUGCGUAGGCGGUGAGUUAAGUCUGCUGUGAAAUCCCCGGGCUCAACCUGGGAAUGGCAGUGGAUACUGGCUCGCUAGAGUGUGUCAGAGGAUGGUGGAAUUCCCGGUGUAGCGGUGAAAUGCGUAGAGAUCGGGAGGAACAUCAGUGGCGAAGGCGGCCAUCUGGGACAACACUGACGCUGAGGCACGAAAGCGUGGGGAGCAAACAGGAUUAGAUACCCCUGUAGUCCCUGUCUCUUAUAC